AUUGAACGCUGGCGGCAGGCCUAACACAUGCAAGUCGAGCGGAGCGGCGGACGGGUGAGUAAUGCCUAGGAAUCUGCCUGGUAGUGGGGGAUAACGUCCGGAAACGGGCGCUAAUACCGCAUACUAUCAGAUGAGCCUAGGUCGGAUUAGCUAGUUGGGGGGGUAAAGGCCUACCAAGGCGACGAUCCGUAACUGGUCUGAGAGGAUGAUCAGGCAAACUGGAAAUGGAACACGGUCCAGACUCCGUCGGGAGGCAGCAGUGGGGAAUAUUGGACAAUGGGCGAAAGCCUGAUCUGGCCAUGGCGCGGGUGGGAAGAAGGGUUUCGGAUUGUAAAGCACUUUAAGUUAGGAGACGUUACCAACAGAAUAAGCACCGGCUAACUUCGUGCCAGCCGCCGCGGUAAUAC
rnacentral:rRNA from 1 species